rnacentral:rRNA from 1 species
GAGUUUGAUCAUGGCUCAGAUUGAACGCUGGCGGCAUGCCUUACACAUGCAAGUCGAACGGCAGCACGGGAGCUUGCUCCUGGUGGCGAGUGGCGAACGGGUGAGUAAUGCAUCGGAACGUAUCCUGGAGUGGGGGAUAACGUAGCGAAAGUUACGCUAAUACCGCAUAUUCUGUGAGCAGGAAAGCGGGGGACCUUCGGGCCUUGCGCUAUCAGAUGAGCCUAGGUCGGAUUAGCUAGUUGGUGGGGUAAUGGCUCACCAAGGCGACGAUCCGUAACUGGUCUGAGAGGAUGAUCAGUCACACUGGAACUGAGACACGGUCCAGACUCCUACGGGAGGCAGCAGUGGGGAAUAUUGGACAAUGGGCGAAAGCCUGAUCCAGCCAUGCCGCGUGUGUGAAGAAGGUCUUCGGAUUGUAAAGCACUUUAAGUUGGGAGGAAGGGCAGUAAGUUAAUACCUUGCUGUUUUGACGUUACCGACAGAAUAAGCACCGGCUAACUCUGU